rnacentral:rRNA from 1 species
GAUGAACGCUGGCUGCGUGCCUAAUACAUGAAAGUCGAGCGAUCAGAUGCGGAGCUUGCUCCUCUGACGUUAGUGGCAGAUGGGUGUGUAACCCGUGGAUAACUUACCUCUUAGGCCGCGAUCACCUCGGGAAACCGGAGCUACUGGCGGGUGCUUUACCGAACCGCUUUGUACGUUAGUUUGUGCCGGCUUACACGUCCCUUUUAGUUGGCACCGCGCCGCAUUAGCUAGUUGGUAAGGUUACGGCUUACCAAGGCAACGAUGCGUAGCCGACCUGAGAGGGUGAUCGGCCACACUGGAGCUGAGACACGGUCCAGACGCCUACGGGAGGCAACAGUAGGGAAUCUUCCGCAAUGGGCGAAAGCUUGACGGAGCAACACCGCGUGAGUGAUGAAGGUCUUCGGAUCCUAAAACUCUGUUAUGAGGGAAGAACAAAUGUGUAAGUAACUAGUCACGUCUUGACGGUACCUAAUCAGAAAGCCACGGCUAACUACGUG